GAAAUGCGAUAAGUAAUGUGAAUUGCAGAAUUCAGUGAAUCAUCGAAUCUUUGAACGCACAUUGCGCCCGCCAGUAUUCUGGCGGGCAUGCCUGUUCGAGCGUCAUUUCAACCAUCAAGCCCCGCGCUUGUGUUGGGGACCUGCGGCUGCCGCAGGCCCUGAAAACCAGUGGCGGGCUCGCUGUCACACCGGGCGUAGUAGAUUUUAUCUCGCUCAGGGCGUGCUGCGGGUUCCGGCCGUUAAAAAGCCUUUUUUACCCAAGGUUGACCUCGGAUCAGGUAGGAAGACCCGCUGAACUUAAGC
rnacentral:misc_RNA from 1 species